GCCCGAGCUGCAGGUGCCGGCCGGCCGGGCGAGGAGCGAGCGUCCUGCCGCUGCAGAAGGGAGGCACACACGUCCAAUGGAGGUGAGGAGCUCCAAGCUGCAUGGCGCUCCCGCCCUGCCUCCUGCCGCCCCGACUGCCCUAGUGAACGGGCCCCGGAGCCUGCAAAGACGGCCAGGAGAGCUAUUAAACCAACCAUGCAAAUUAUCAAGGCCCCACAGACCCAGGAGGAGAAAGAAACUAGACAACGUUUAGUUACAUCAUUCAAGGCUAUCCUUCCCAAGGACAUCUAAGCCCUAUUCCUGGUCCACACCACUGUCCUUCCUUGGAAAACUUUGACAGGGCUCUGAUCACUUCCCUCCCUGGAGAAUUCCAACUGUUGGUUAACAGAAAAACCCACUGACCGCUCAGGAUCUUUCCCCACGGUGGCUUCUCCCUCUGGGGCACCCUUCCACGUUCCCCUCUUCCUCCAUUCUCCACUGUCUGCAUCAAAUCUGUCCCUUACAUCCCACUUGAAGGCACUAUGUUCAUGGACCUCCCCUCGAUUGCCUCUGCUUGCAAUAUUCUCUCCUAGAAUGUCCACAGCAUUGUACCCCUGGCGGUAGAUUCCUUUCUUCCUUGGGAUCACAGUGGUUUGUGUCCUACUUCCCAGCUGAGAGGGCUUUAAGGGCAGCCACCACAGCCCAUUCAUUUCACGUCUGCAUCGCCACAGGACCAUCCCAUCUCAGGUGCUCAGUAAUUACUUAUCAGCUUGGAGAAUGCUCUGGGGCAUGACUCUGAAGGAACAGGAGUGAAAGCAAGUCAUGACGGGAUUAAAGGAAUUAGGAACAUUUCAGAGGAAGGCCUCCCUGUGUGAAAGGCAAGAUGGAAGGGAUCUUCAAGCAGCCCCCCUGCUGCCCCUGGGCCCUGAAAGAGCUUCCAGGAACCCGCCCCCAGUUCAGUUAUCAGGUGAUGGUCCUAAUCUGUAUGCAUUUUUAUUGUUAUGCAAACAAAAUUAGAUUCAAACAAAGACUCUUAAUUAACAAAUUAAAGCUGCACCAUGCACUUUUUUUUUUUCUGCACCAUGCACUUCUUGCUCCAAAUAUCCCACCUAUUCAAAGGCUAGAAACAAAAUUCCUAACAGCAAUGCAGCAAAUGAAUGGAGUUAGGGAAACAGGACUGGGUACCACAGUUGUCCUAAUCCUGGAACACCUGUUUAAAUAACAAUUCGUGCCUGAGGCAUUCAGAACAACCUGCUAAUACUAACUCAGCGCCCAACACCAACUCCUUGUGGUCACCAGUGUUAA